rnacentral:rRNA from 1 species
CCUACGGGAGGCAGCAGUGAGGAAUAUUGGUCCAUGGUCGGGAGACUGAACCAGCCAAGCCGCGUGAGGGAUGAAGGUACAGAGUAUCGUAAACCUCUUUUGUCAGGGAACAAAGGCGGGGACGUGUCCCCGGAUGAGUGUACCUGAAGAAAAAGCAUCGGCUAACUCCGUACCAGCAGCCGCGGUAAUACGGAGGAUGCGAGCGUUAUCCGGAUUUAUUGGGUUUAGAGGGUGCGCAGGCGGUCUUUUAAGUCAGCGGUAAAAGCCCGGGGCACAACCCCGGCCCGCCGUUGAGACUGGAAGUCUCGAGUUGGAGUGAAGUAUGCGGAAUGCGCGGUGUAGCGGUGAAAUGCAUAGAUAUCGCGCAGAACUCCGAUUGCGAAGGCAGCAUGCCGGCUCCACACUGACGCUGAGGCACGAAAGCGUGGGUAUCGAACAGGAUUAGAUACCCGUGUAGUC